rnacentral:rRNA from 1 species
GACGAACUGUCCUAACGUUGUUCGGAAUCACUGGGCUUAAAGGGCGCGUAGGCGGUCGAACAAGUCAGGGGUGAAAUCCGGCAGCUCAACUGUCGAAGUGCCUUUGAUACUGAUGAGCUCGAGGGAGGUAGGGGUAUGCGGAACUUCCGGUGGAGCGGUGAAAUGCGUUGAGAUCGGACGGAACGCCGACGGCGAAAGCAAGGUCCUGGACUCGUACUGACGCUGAGGCGCGAAAGCCAGGGGAGCGAACGGG